UUAAGUUAUUAAGGGCGCACGGUGGAUGCCUUGGCACUAGAAGCCGAUGAAGGACGUUACUAACGACGAUAUGCUUUGGGGAGCUGUAAGUAAGCUUUGAUCCAGAGAUUUCCGAAUGGGGAAACCCAGCAUGAGUUAUGUCAUGUUAUCGAUAUGUGAAUACAUAGCAUAUCAGAAGGCACACCCGGAGAACUGAAACAUCUUAGUACCCGGAGGAAGAGAAAGAAAAUUCGAUUCCCUUAGUAGCGGCGAGCGAAACGGGAAGAGCCCAAACCAACAAGCUUGCUUGUUGGGGUUGUAGGACACUCUAUACGGAGUUACAAAGGACGACAUUAGACGAAUCAUCUGGAAAGAUGAAUCAAAGAAGGUAAUAAUCCUGUAGUCGAAAAUGUUGUCUCUCUUGAGUGGAUCCUGAGUACGACGGAGCACGUGAAAUUCCGUCGGAAUCUGGGAGGACCAUCUCCUAAGGCUAAAUACUCUCUAGUGACCGAUAGUGAACCAGUACCGUGAGGGAAAGGUGAAAAGCACCCCGGAAGGGGAGUGAAAUAGAACCUGAAACCGUGUGCUUACAAGUAGUCAGAGCCCGUUAAUGGGUGAUGGCGUGCCUUUUGUAGAAUGAACCGGCGAGUUACGAUUUGAUGCAAGGUUAAGCAGUAAAUGUGGAGCCGUAGCGAAAGCGAGUCUGAAUAGGGCGUUUAGUAUUUGGUCGUAGACCCGAAACCAGGUGAUCUACCCUUGGUCAGGUUGAAGUUCAGGUAACACUGAAUGGAGGACCGAACCGACUUACGUUGAAAAGUGAGCGGAUGAACUGAGGGUAGCGGAGAAAUUCCAAUCGAACCUGGAGAUAGCUGGUUCUCUCCGAAAUAGCUUUAGGGCUAGCCUCAAGUGAUGAUUAUUGGAGGUAGAGCACUGUUUGGACGAGGGGCCCCUCUCGGGUUACCGAAUUCAGACAAACUCCGAAUGCCAAUUAAUUUAACUUGGGAGUCAGAACAUGGGUGAUAAGGUCCGUGUUCGAAAGGGAAACAGCCCAGACCACCAGCUAAGGUCCCAAAAUAUAUGUUAAGUGGAAAAGGAUGUGGCGUUGCCCAGACAACUAGGAUGUUGGCUUAGAAGCAGCCAUCAUUUAAAGAGUGCGUAAUAGCUCACUAGUCGAGUGACACUGCGCCGAAAAUGUACCGGGGCUAAACAUAUUACCGAAGCUGUGGAUUGUCCUUUGGACAAUGGUAGGAGAGCGUUCUAAGGGCGUUGAAGCAUGAUCGUAAGGACAUGUGGAGCGCUUAGAAGUGAGAAUGCCGGUGUGAGUAGCGAAAGACGGGUGAGAAUCCCGUCCACCGAUUGACUAAGGUUUCCAGAGGAAGGCUCGUCCGCUCUGGGUUAGUCGGGUCCUAAGCUGAGGCCGACAGGCGUAGGCGAUGGAUAACAGGUUGAUAUUCCUGUACCACCUAUAAUCGUUUUAAUCGAUGGGGGGACGCAGUAGGAUAGGCGAAGCGUGCGAUUGGAUUGCACGUCUAAGCAGUAAGGCUGAGUAUUAGGCAAAUCCGGUACUCGUUAAGGCUGAGCUGUGAUGGGGAGAAGACAUUGUGUCUUCGAGUCGUUGAUUUCACACUGCCGAGAAAAGCCUCUAGAUAGAAAAUAGGUGCCCGUACCGCAAACCGACACAGGUAGUCAAGAUGAGAAUUCUAAGGUGAGCGAGCGAACUCUCGUUAAGGAACUCGGCAAAAUGACCCCGUAACUUCGGGAGAAGGGGUGCUCUUUAGGGUUAACGCCCAGAAGAGCCGCAGUGAAUAGGCCCAAGCGACUGUUUAUCAAAAACACAGGUCUCUGCUAAACCGUAAGGUGAUGUAUAGGGGCUGACGCCUGCCCGGUGCUGGAAGGUUAAGAGGAGUGGUUAGCUUCUGCGAAGCUACGAAUCGAAGCCCCAGUAAACGGCGGCCGUAACUAUAACGGUCCUAAGGUAGCGAAAUUCCUUGUCGGGUAAGUUCCGACCCGCACGAAAGGCGUAACGAUUUGGGCACUGUCUCAACGAGAGACUCGGUGAAAUCAUAGUACCUGUGAAGAUGCAGGUUACCCGCGACAGGACGGAAAGACCCCGUGGAGCUUUACUGUAGCCUGAUAUUGAAAUUCGGCACAGCUUGUACAGGAUAGGUAGGAGCCUUUGAAACGUGAGCGCUAGCUUACGUGGAGGCGCUGGUGGGAUACUACCUAGCUGUGUUGGCUUUCUAACCCGCACCACUUAUCGUGGUGGGAGACAGUGUCAGGCGGGCAGUUUGACUGGGGCGGUCGCCUCCUAAAAGGUAACGGAGGCGCUCAAAGGUUCCCUCAGAAUGGUUGGAAAUCAUUCAUAGAGUGUAAAGGCAUAAGGGAGCUUGACUGCGAGACCUACAAGUCGAGCAGGGUCGAAAGACGGACUUAGUGAUCCGGUGGUUCCGCAUGGAAGGGCCAUCGCUCAACGGAUAAAAGCUACCCCGGGGAUAACAGGCUUAUCUCCCCCAAGAGUUCACAUCGACGGGGAGGUUUGGCACCUCGAUGUCGGCUCAUCGCAUCCUGGGGCUGUAGUCGGUCCCAAGGGUUGGGCUGUUCGCCCAUUAAAGCGGUACGCGAGCUGGGUUCAGAACGUCGUGAGACAGUUCGGUCCCUAUCCGUCGUGGGCGUAGGAAAUUUGAGAGGAGCUGUCCUUAGUACGAGAGGACCGGGAUGGACAUACCUCUGGUGUACCAGUUGUCGUGCCAACGGCAUAGCUGGGUAGCUAUGUGUGGACGGGAUAAGUGCUGAAAGCAUCUAAGCAUGAAGCCCCCCUCAAGAUGAGAUUUCCCAACUUCGGUUAUAAGAUCCCUCAAAGAUGAUGAGGUUAAUAGGUUCGAGGUGGAAGCAUGGUGACAUGUGGAGCUGACGAAUACUAAUCGAUCGAAGACUUAAUCAA
rnacentral:rRNA from 1 species